AUUACCCACUCCCGGCACGGGGAGGUAGUGACGAAAAAUAACGAUACGGGACUCAUCCGAGGCCCCGUAAUCGGAAUGAGUACACUCUAAACCCUUUAACGAGGAUCAAUUGGAGGGCAAGUCUGGUGCCAGCAGCCGCGGUAAUUCCAGCUCCAAUAGCGUAUAUAAAAGUUGUUGCGGUUAAAAAGCUCGUAGUCGAAUCUGUGUCUCGCGCCGCCGGUGCAUCGCUCGCGGUGUUUAACUGGCGUGUCCGCGAGACGUCCUGCCGGUGGGCUUAGCCCGGCAACGGGCGGCCCAACUUGAAAUCCCACCGCGGUGCUCUUGAUUGAGUGUCGAGGUGGGCCGGCACGUUUACUUUGAACAAAUUAGAGUGCUUAAAGCAGGCUAAAACUUCGCCUGAAUACUGUGUGCAUGGAAUAAUGGAAUAGGACCUCGGUUCUAUUUUGUUGGUUUUCGGAACCCCGAGGUAAUGAUUAAUAGGAACGGAUGGGGGCAUUCGUAUUGCGACGUUAGAGGUGAAAUUCUUGGAUCGUCGCAAGACGGACAGAAGCGAAAGCAUUUGCCAAAAACGCUUUCAUUGAUCAAGAACGAAAGUUAGAGGUUCGAAGGCGAUCAGAUACCGCCCUAGUUCUAACCAUAAACGAUGCCAGCUAGCGAUCCGCCAACGUUCCUCCGAUGACUCGGCGGGCAGCUUCCGGGAAACCAAAGCUUUUGGGUUCCGGGG
rnacentral:rRNA from 1 species